rnacentral:rRNA from 1 species
GAUGAACGCUGGCGGCGUGCCUAAUACAUGCAAGUCGAGCGAACAGAUGAGGAGCUUGCUCCUCUGACGUUAGCGGCGGACGGGUGAGUAACACGUGGAUAACCUACCUAUAAGACUGGGAUAACUUCGGGAAACCGGAGCUAAUACCGGAUAAUAUAUUGAACCGCAUGGUUCAAUAGUGAAAGACGGUUUUGCUGUCACUUAUAAAUGGAUCCGCGCCGCAUUAGCUAGUUGGUAAGGUAACGGCUUACCAAGGCGACGAUGCGUAGCCGACCUGAGAGGGUGAUCGGCCACACUGGAACUGAGACACGGUCCAGACUCCUACGGGAGGCAGCAGUAGGGAAUCUUCCGCAAUGGGCGAAAGCCUGACGGAGCAACGCCGCGUGAGUGAUGAAGGUCUUCGGAUCGUAAAACUCUGUUAUUAGGGAAGAACAAAUGUGUAAGUAACUAUGCACGUCUUGACGGUACCUAAUCAGAAAGCCACGGCUAACUACGUG